rnacentral:rRNA from 1 species
CAAGUCGAACGGCAGCAUGAUGUGUAGCAAUACACAUUGAUGGCGAGUGGCGGACGGGUGAGUAACGCGUAGGGAUCUGCCCUGUAGAGGGGGACAACCCGGGGAAACCCGGGCUAAUACCGCAUAAUACUCUUCGGAGGAAAGCUGGCAGUUUACUGCUGGCGCUAUGGGAGGAACCUGCGUCCGAUUAGCUAGUUGGUAGGGUAAAGGCCUACCAAGGCGAUGAUCGGUAACUGGUCUGAGAGGAUGACCAGUCACACUGGGACUGAGUCACGGCCCAGACUCCUACGGGAGGCAGCAGUGGGGAAUAUUGGACAAUGGGGGCAACCCUGAUCCAGCAAUGCCGCGUGUGUGAAGAAGGCCUUCGGGUUGUAAAGCACUUUGGGCGGGGAAGAAGGUAUGCAGUUUAAGAGAUAGCAUAUUUGACUGUACCCGCAGAACAAGCACCGGCUAACUCUGUGCCAGCAGCCGCGGUAAUACAGAGGGUGCGAGCGUUAAUCGGAAUUACUGGGCGUAAAGGGCGCGUAGGUGGUUGGACAAGUGAGAUGUGAAAUCCCCGGGCUUAACCCGGGAACUGCAUUUUAUACUGUCUGGCUGGAGUACUGUAGAGGGUAGUGGAAUUUCCGGUGUAGCGGUGAAAUGCGUAGAGAUCGGAAGGAACACCAGUGGCGAAGGCGGCUACCUGGACAGAUACUGACACUGAGGCGCGAGAGCGUGGGGAGCAAACAGGAUUAGAUACCCUGGUAGUCCACGCUGUAAACGAUGAGAACUGGAUGUUGGAGGGCUUGUCCCUCUGGUAUCGAAGCUAACGCGAUAAGUUCUCCCCCUGGGGGAGUACGGCCGCAAGGUUAAAACUCAAAGGAAUUGACGGGGGCCGCCACAGCGGUGGAGCAUGUGGUUUAAUUCGAUGCAA